ACAUGCAAGUCGAGCGAGAAUUUUACAGAAUGAAGCUUUUUGCAGAUUUCUGUAAAGGAAAGCGGCGACGGGUGAGUAACGCGUGAGUAACCUGGCCCUUAANAGGGGGGAUAACACAUCGAAAGGUGUGCUAAUACCGCAUAAUGUACAUUUGCCGCAUGACAGAUGUACCAAAGAUUUAUCGCUUAAGGAUGGACUCGCGUCUGAUUAGAUAGUUGGUGAGGUAAACCGGGCUCACCAAGUCGACGAUCAGUAGCCGAACUGAGAGGUUGAUCGGCCACAUUGGGACUGAGACACGGCCCAGACUCCUACGGGAGGCAGCAGUGGGGAAUAUUGCGCAAUGGGGGCAACCCUGACGCAGCAACGCCGCGUGAAGGAUGAAGGUCUUCGGAUUGUAAACUUUUGUCUUAUGGGACGAAAAAGGACGGUACCAUAGGAGGAAGCCACGGCUAACUACGUG
rnacentral:rRNA from 1 species